rnacentral:rRNA from 1 species
GAGGCCUAACACAUGCAAGCCGAGCGGUAGGUUUCCUUCGGGAGACUGAGAGCGGCGCACGGGUGCGGAACACGUGUGCAACCUGCCUUUAUCAGGGGGAUAGCCUUUCGAAAGGAAGAUUAAUACCCCAUAAUAUUUUGAGUGGCAUCACUUAAAAUUGAAAACUCCGGUGGAUAAAGAUGGGCACGCGCAAGAUUAGAUAGUUGGUGAGGUAACGGCUCACCAAGUCUACGAUCUUUAGGGGGCCUGAGAGGGUGAUCCCCCACACUGGUACUGAGACACGGACCAGACUCCUACGGGAGGCAGCAGUGAGGAAUAUUGGACAAUGGGUGAGAGCCUGAUCCAGCCAUCCCGCGUGAAGGACGACGGCCCUAUGGGUUGUAAACUUCUUUUGUAUAGGGAUAAACCUUUCCACGUGUGGAAAGCUGAAGGUACUAUACGAAUAAGCACCGGCUAACUCCGUGCCAGCAGCCGCGGUAAUACGGAGGGUGCAAGCGUUAUCCGGAUUUAUUGGGUUUAAAGGGUCCGUAGGCGGAUCUGUAAGUCAGUGGUGAAAUCUCACAGCUCAACUGUGAAACUGCCAUUGAUACUGCAGGUCUUGAGUGUUGUUGAAGUAGCUGGAAUAAGUAGUGUAGCGGUGAAAUGCAUAGAUAUUACUUAGAACACCAAUUGCGAAGGCAGGUUACUAAGCAACAACUGACGCUGAUGGACGAAAGCGUGGGGAGCGAACAGGAUUAGAUACCCUGGUAGUCCACGCCGUAAACGAUGCUAACUCGUUUUU